rnacentral:rRNA from 1 species
AUACGUAGGGGGCGAGCGUUGUCCGGAUUUAUUGGGCGUAAAGGGUGCGUAGGCGGCCUUGUAAGUCAGAUGUGAAAGAUCAUGGCUUAACUGUGGUAAGCAUUUGAAACUGCAGGGCUUGAGUACAGGAGGGGAGAGUGGAAUUCCUAGUGUAGCGGUGAAAUGCGUAGAUAUUAGGAGGAAUACCAGUGGCGAAGGCGACUCUCUGGACUGAUACUGACGCUGAGGCACGAAAGCGUGGGGAGCAAACAGGAUUAGAUACCCUGGUAGUCCACGCUAUAAACGAUGAGUGCUAGGUGUCGGGGGUCAAACCUCGGUGCCGCAGUUAACACAUUAAGCACUCCGCCUGGGGAGUACGGUCGCAAGACUGAAACUCAAAGGAAUUGGCGGGG